GACAGGCCCCCGGAGGGUGGGGCCCCUGCAGAGAGCCCUUCUCUAGGACGGGGCACCUGCCUAGGGGGCCUGAGAUGAGGUCGGCCUUGGCUCAUCACCUGGGGAGAGUGGAUCUAGGAGGCCCGAGCAAAGCUACCUGGGCCCAGUCUGGGUGGAGCCCCCGAGGCGGGAGGGUGGAGCCUCGCGGACCCUGGCUGGGGUCGGGGCAGAAUCCAGGCCUGGGGAGCUCCAGGUGAGACGGGGAGUCCUCAGCCCAGUCAGCUGUGAGGCCACGGGACCCUGGGACAGGGCGGGCUCUGGCCACUAAACAGCAAAGCAGGCGGAGACAUCCUAUGCCAUUCCACGUGGGAGCCUCAGACUCUCAGGAGUCCUGACUGGCCCCAGGGUCUUUGGCCACGUUUGGAUCCAGGUCGCGUAGGGUCAGGAUCCAGCGUUUCCCGCGGGCUCUGAGGAGAGAAGGGAACCGGAAGGUUCUGGUCCUGUCGGAGAUGUGUGGAGAGUUGCUUUUCCAGAAGAAAUACCAACUCCCACAUUUAAGUUUAGGCAGUUGACCAACUUUGAAAAGCUUGGAACUUUUGUUUGGCGUUGAAGCCACAUGAUCUGUCGCCCAUGGAAACAGCAGAAUUCCAUAAGGACUGGGUGGGGAACCCACACUCUCUACCGGGCGCCAGCCACAGGCUGUCUCUUGCGUGAGUUCUGACGUGAACAACGGAGUAGAACAUGUUGUCAUUUGUUUGUUGACAUCGCGGAUGAAGGAGCAGAAUCCAUUUUGCGGGGAAAGAUGUGGGAACACUGUUGGAUACAGCCGCAGGGGAUCACUGGGCGCCUUAAAGAGAGCGCUUGCUACUUCGUGCUGGGGGAGAAGAGACGAGUGAGUGACUGGUUGCAGAUGAAGAUGAAGCCCUGGGGAUGGGUGUGCUGUGAGUUGAAACGACCCUGGGCUCUGAGUCAUCAUGUGGAGCAGUCCUACGCGCCAACAAAACCACGUGCCUUGGACUGGAAUUUUUACACAUAGAGGGUCUGGAUAAGCAUCAAGAUCCAACAUGUUUUCAACACAUGGCUUGUAUGGACAGAAGAACUACAUACCAAAAUCAAGACAUGUCUGGACAUCUGUAACAAAUGUUGGAAAUAGCCUUCACCAGACUUUUCUGCAGACAUUCCAUUUGGGUUUUCACCAAGAUGUUAAUGAUUGAACAACAACCCGAAAGUGGUUAUCUCAGCCUUCCACUAAAGGAUUGAGACUCUACAUCCAGCUGUCCUUGCACAAGAAACUGUAUUUGCACUUCAACCUUCAAGAUCUUACCAAUAUCUCCUAAUCGUGUUCAUGUUGCCUAUCUUGUCCACUAUUGCUUCAAACUUUACAUCCUCAGUGAUUAUUACUUUCACUCCUAAAUCUUUCGUGUUUUUCCAUCUAUUUUAUCAUGUAAUUCUUCAAUACAAGUACACACUGUUAAGAAUAAUAAAAAAGAAAAAUGCAGUUCCAGC
rnacentral:lncRNA from 1 species